UUUUUUUUUUUUUUUAUAACUCCAUUCUCAACCAGCCGUUAAAGGCAUACAUCUCUUCCCUUCAUCAAUAUUUUCCUCCUCUCUCCCUCUCCUUAGAUAUGGCUUAAGGUUCCUCCAUGGCUUUUACCCUAACUACAAUCAAAAUUAUCUCCAUGACAGAAAACCAAUCUCGUCCUCAACAAAAAAGCCCAAAUUUUCAACAAUGGUGAAACCACAAGCAACUAAACCAAUAAAAGUCGCCCAAUUUUCGGCCACAACGCCUCUUUCGCUGUCCUUCGUCAAUUUUCCUCCACAUCGCUGCCCAAUUUGGAUUUGAUUGUCAAAUUCAAAUUGACUUAUUCAAUUUAUAGAUAUGAAGUAGAUAUAGAGGAGAAAACAUUCUUAAAGAUCUUCAUGGAAUCCUGCAUUUUUGUUUCAAGUAUUAUUUUUUUUUCGCAUUUGAUUUGUAUCAAAAUGUACUUAGUGUUUUUGUCAAAAAAACAAAUGUACUUAGUGUUGUAAUUAAUUGAAUACAGAGGUGAAUAAAAUUUAUUUUGGUAUUG